GUGAAGAAACCCUGUCUGACGAGUGUCCGGAGGAAUUACCUGUAAGAAUGUAUGAUACAGGCGUAUGUGUCUUUAUGUGUAUGUAAUUGUCACGCCCGACUCGUCCGAUCCCCGCGUGUAUGCCACGCCCCCCUCGUUACCUCGUGUUACUUCCCGAUUGUGAUCACCUGAUGCCUGUUAUUUCGGCUUGUUUCAUGUAUAUGAGUCCAUGUCUUCCUUAGUUGGGUGUCCGUCAUUGAUGUUCUGUGCUUUGCUCUCUGCCCUGUUUCCCCGAAUAAACCCUCGUGUACUCGUAUGCACGGCUCUAUCGCCUGCUUGACCGCCCGCAGUCGUGACAGAAUGACGGACCCGCAAGAAGACACACUGCAGCGGACCAAGAACCAGCGUCUCGGUCUGCUGCAAGAGGUGGUGUACUGGCUGUCCCAACCCGAGGUCCAGGAGGACCCCAUAGCCUGGGACUUGGCCAGCCGGAGCGGGGACCUCCUGAGUGAGCACCCCCACCCAGAAACGCGUACCCCCUGCAGGAAGUACACAAGAAUCUUAGGCUGCUAAUACAGCGGAUUAUGGACCGGAGAGCCCAGUCAGUCGUGCUGUGCUGCGCUGGGGCUGCUGUACCGCCUCUUCUCCCUACAGAGACAGCUCAGCUUCCUUCCACCGCCACAAGCCGGAGGAAGAAGAAAAAGAGAGAGCAGAGACAGAAGGAGGACCUGACAAUCCUCCUGGGAGCUACCUCUCUCUCCCCAGCUUCUUUCCCUGCCAGUCAUCGGGGGGAGGCUCUGAUCGCCCUGGACAUCACCCCCUUCGCAGGCAGCUUCCCCCUUCCGGGGAACGCGUCUAGCCCUUAAUAGGAGAAAAAAAAGCACACAAAAAAAAACAGUAAAUACUUGACUUACUACACAUGGCUUCAGCCAUCACUUGUGGGACAGAGCGAGCUGAGACACUGGUCGCCUGAACAGGGAAUUCGAGCAAUGCUAAAACGUGUUCGAGAUGUCAGAGGAGUGCAGCCUUGCUACAGAGAUGAUGUUGCUGAAAUAAUGAGGGAGCUGGAUGCAAGUGGUCUUCAGAGAAGAUCUCCUGGUAAGAAGAAAAUCCAGCGUAGGAAUUACAUCAGCCAUGGCCCCAAUGACACCUGGCACAUUGAUGGUA